AACGAACGCUGGCGGCGUGGAUAAGACAUGCAAGUCGAACGAGAGAAUUGCUAGCUUGCUAAUAAUUCUCUAGUGGCGCACGGGUGAGUAACACGUGAGUAACCUGCCCCCGAGAGCGGGAUAGCCCUGGGAAACUGGGAUUAAUACCGCAUAGUAUCGAAAGAUUAAAGCAGCAAUGCGCUUGGGGAUGGGCUCGCGGCCUAUUAGUUAGUUGGUGAGGUAACGGCUCACCAAGGCGAUGACGGGUAGCCGGUCUGAGAGGAUGUCCGGCCACACUGGAACUGAGACACGGUCCAGACACCUACGGGUGGCAGCAGUCGAGAAUCAUUCACAAUGGGGGAAACCCUGAUGGUGCGACGCCGCGUGGGGGAAUGAAGGUCUUCGGAUUGUAAACCCCUGUCAUGUGGGAGCAAAUUAAAAAGAUAGUACCACAAGAGGAAGAGACGGCUAACUCUGUGCCAGCAGCCGCGGUAAUACAGAGGUCUCAAGCGUUGUUCGGAAUCACUGGGCGUAAAGCGUGCGUAGGCUGUUUCGUAAGUCGUGUGUGAAAGGCGCGGGCUCAACCCGCGGACGGCACAUGAUACUGC
rnacentral:rRNA from 1 species